AACCCUGAUGCAGCUAUACCGUGUGUGUGAAGAAGGCCUUAGGGUUGUAAAGCACUUUCAAUGGGGAAGAAUUUAAUAUUGCUAAUAUCGAUAUUAAUUGACGUUACCUAUAUAAGAAGCACCGGCUAACUCCGUGCCAGCAGCCGCGGUAAUACGGAGGGUGCAAGCGUUAAUCGGAAUUACUGGGCGUAAAGAGUACGUAGGUGGUUUGUUAAGUCAGAUGUGAAAUCCCUGAGCUUAACUUAGGAACUGCAUUUGAAACUAAUAAACUAGAGUUUCGUAGAGGGGGGUAGAAUUCCAGGUGUAGCGGUGAAAUGCGUAGAGAUCUGGAGGAAUACCAGUGGCGAAGGCGACCCCCUGGACGGAAACUGACACUCAUGUACGAAAGCAUGGGGAGCAAACAGGAUUAGAUACCCUGGUAGUCCAUGCCGUAAACGAUGUCGAUUUGAA
rnacentral:rRNA from 1 species